ACAUGUUGAUGAACAGGAAGCAGUACCUGCAGGGAUCCAGGGGUGGCUGGAAGGUCGGUCUCUGGUGUCUCCCUGCUCCCAGUCAAAGUCGUCAUCUUUG